CAGAGAUGGGUGAGGGACAGAGAGAAGGUGAAGGACAUCUAUCGUCAGCUGGGACCAGGACAUACACAGUAUUCUAGUGAUCGAUGGAGACAACAGUGGUAAUGGCCUUAACAGCUAAGCAAGGAGGACGAUCAGUGGCUAUCGAUUCUGGCUGCCGGGGGAACCAGCGUAUGUCCAAGUUAAAGGAGGUGAUUGACUCGGCUCUCCACAGAGACAGCAUCCAUGCGCCACUUUUCGAUGACAGGAUGACACAUUUCCGUCCAUUUCGCAGCAUGAUAUUUUUAUCACACUGCUCCGUUUCACAGUGCGAUCCAUUUUUCAUUGCACCAAGGUGAUUGCAGCCAUCAGUCAUGAGUAUCCACUGAGUUUUCAUUAUCUUAUAGCGCUCAGUGCGUUUACAUCUUUUGAGACCACAGAUGCAUUUAACAACACAAGAAUUAAGAGCUGAAUGGGAACACCCAGCACUUCCUGGGGUCAAUCUCCGCUGGGCUCAGACUGUGGCUGUCUGGCCUAGUGUGCAUGUCUAUGUGUGUGUGUGUGUGUGUGAGGUCUUAGACACAAAUAGUGUUAGUGGAUGAGCUACAGAGGUCAUCAAAUGGAGAGAUUAUUACUCCAGACAGUCUGUCCAAAGAAAUCCAGGGAGAGAAGUGAUGUUAUUUGUAGUGUCAGUUCAAAGUCCAACCUAGAGCCAGAUGCAUACAACUCUGUGUGGAAUCACGAAAGACAGAAAUAUGGAUAUACACUCUUUUGCGUAGUUCUGUUUUAUAAACUUCAAUCAUUGUAAAACUUGCCACAUGUGCAAAAACCUCAUUUCCAUUCCCACAGUUAGCCAUAAGUGGUCGAUAAGAAAAUGUAGAGACACAGCCUUAAUCACUCUGUUCCACCCAUCUUUAGACCUAUCAAUGAAAACAACGGCAGAGAAGUACAGUUUCACCGACUGUGACCCAUCGGUGAGGUUCUCCAAGAAGCUGUCAUUAUGUGCAACCCAGUCCUCGCGAUUUCCCUCUCCCGCUUAUAUGUCACACUCAGCUCGCUCUAGAAAAUGUGUAAGUCUGGUCCAGAGGCGUAGGUGGCAAUUGUAUUUUGGGUUGGCCAGUACAAAAGUGGGUGGGCCAUCUUUUCCCAGAAAAAAAGGAUUUAAAAAAGGAGGCUAUAAAAACGUAGAAAAAAGAACAAACAGAAAAACUGAAAAAACAGCAACAACAUUGCUGCAACAUUCUGCACUACAAUGGCAAUCACAACAAAACACUGCCUAUACAACAUGCUCAACCAACAGAGCUCAGUCUAUAAAAGGCUGUACACAACAAUAUAGACAAAAACCUGUCUAUUUUAUCAUAUUCAGGCUAAAAUAUAUUUACACUGCAGUGCACCUGCUCUACAGUGCACGGCACUGUUAAUUAAUCAUUUUAUUGCCAAAGUGGCAACUAAACAUAAACCCAAACAGCAGGGAAGGUGUUAACAUACUGCAUGACAUAAUAUACAUCAGACAGAAAUCGCACAUAUAACAUAUCCCUCAUGCAUUCAUUACAGCCAUUGUUGCUUCAGUACCAUGGUCAGCUCACAUAUAAUAGCAAAUGUGCAAGCAGCUGUUUACACAAAUCAGCAGUAAAAGGAAAUCAAAGAAUGUGAACAUCCAGUCAAGCAUUGCUUGAAUUAAAGAACAACACACUCCUUAAUUUCUAUUAAAUCAAACACAUACAAUGAAAUCUGGUUGAAAUCUAGCUUCUGUGCAAAAAAAUGAGCAACUUUUGAAAAUAAACAAUGUAGCCUAUUAAUAGUAGGCCUAUACACAACACACCAUUACUUAACAUGAAAUGCUUCACAGGCAAAUAUGAAGCAGUGAAAAAUGAGCAAAACAACAGGCCUAGCUUUGUUGUUUUUAUGGCCUACUAAACAAGGCGCAAAUGCCAGGUUUAGCAUUGAAUACAAAGAUGAUCUCAUCAUAGCUCAAAGAGUCACAGGUUGUUUGAAAUGGGUAGUACUCAUGUAUGCUCUGAGGUCUGUUUUAAUCCGACUUAAAGUGUAGAGCCAACAAAAUCACAAUCUGAAUUGUCUCUAAACCAAGCAAAGCUCCCUUUUAGUCCCUCAAUUAGGUCGAUGCAUUCAGAGACUGACAAUGUUGGUCUUCAAACACCCUGUGUGGCAAAAUCGCUCAUCUAAAAUAAUUUCCCAAAUGUGAUAAGUAAAAAUAUGAACUUUUUGUUUGUAUUUGUUGACCACUGCUUUCAGCACACUCAGCAAGUACAACUUCUAAUAUUAUGUUGAGUAACAUCAGUAUUUUGGUCACUGCUCCAGAUUCGGAGCUCCAGCUCAUGUCUAUGGAUCACUCAAGUUCCAGGCAUGGGCGUCCUGGAUGGAGCUCUUUUUGCACUUCCACAAACCUUGCUGCUGCCUGUCAUGAGACUGUGUAUGUUGACUGUGUAUAUUGUUCAGUGUAUCAAAGAAUGUGCUAGCCCAGACACCUUUGAUGCUGCACAAAUGACCAAAUUCAGUCUGUGAAAAUUACAGUGGACAAACAUGGCUUGAGGAAAAGUUUGUUUUAAAAUUACACGCACACCUCCCUUGUUACCUGACAUAAUGGCGGCCCCAUCGAAACUGAAGCCAACGCACAGAGAUGGGUCAAGUUGCAGUUGCAGUUCAAUCACCUGUAAUAUCUUCUCUGAAAAACCACUUGUAUUUGUCACAUGUCACUUGUGUCCAUGAUCCCAAUUGCCCAUUCUUUUAUUUUCCCUGCGUGAACAUAUCCCACACAAACAGCAAGUGAGUUCACGCUUUGAGUCAUCCUUAUAUUUGUCAGCGUUAAAGGCAUAAUAGGCACCUGGUAUUUCACAGAAUUCUGUUUUGAUUUUGCGCAAGAGCAAGGAGGCUGCUGACUCCAGCAGCUCAUUUUGAACAUCUGGGCUCAUCAAAGUUCCGUUUCUGGGCAGCUGCUCAAAAAGAUUUUGGAUAUGUGGAUCAUAUUUGCACAUGAACUUGAACAGUUCUUCAAAGUUUCCUAUAUUGAGAGCAUCUGCAUUUUUCCUGUGUCCACGUAGGGGGAUGUCCUGCUUGGCACAAAACAGUAUAAUAUCCAAAACGACUUUUAAGAUGAUCCCAAUUCCUCUCGAUAAAUGAUUAGUCCAUGGCAUCACAGUUCAUUUGAUUUAACACAUUUCCCUGACCUGCAGUUUGGUUGGCUUUGUAACUUUGAAACUUGUCCAGUGAAACAGAGUGGGGCUUGCUCAUCUGGUGUUUUUCAUAUUCCUGAUGUAAGUGCUUCCAGUCCACAAACCUUGCUCUCACAAAUGGGCCAUCAGCUCCACUGGGGAAAUGUCUGCACAUUUUACAGAAAAAUGUGUCCUUAUUUACACUGUAUUCCCACCAAGAAAACUGUCCAUACCACUUUGAUGAAAAGCACCUUGAUUUUCCAUUCUUGACAGUCCAGGGAAAUACCUUCAAAUUUUGCUGUGAAGGUGGUUCAUCAAUUGCAGAUAAAUCGGCGGGUAAACCCGCAUCAGGUUCACUGGGAUAGAGCACUGGCACCGGGGAGCAAGAGGCCAGACUAACAUUCUUGUGGGCUAAUGAGUCUGAAGAACUGGGUUGGGUGGACUCAGUAAUUGGAGGCAGUGGCGUGUCUUCUUCCUCAACUCUUGCAUUUUUUAAAUCACAAAAAAAAAAAUUUGUAACAAAAUGUAUUUUGAUCAAACUUGGCUGGGUGGGCCAGUGAGAAAUGUGGGUGGGCCAGUGCCGCCCAGGCCCAUUACUGGCUGCGUCCCUGGUCUGGUCUAAGCAUGCAUGAAGUGUUCACCAUACAUUCUGCUUUUAUUAAGUUUAUGUGUGGGGAAGUAUGCAUGUUUUCUUUGCCUGUACACAUCGUUUACACAGUACAUUUGGCCCCUGUAAGUACAGUAAUGAUGUUUUGGGAGCCUGGAUUUCCUUUCCAUUGAUUAUUUCAUCAGAACAUAUUCAGAGCAGGUUGUCUUACUUCAACAAAUGGUUCAGCAUAUGGUUUUAUGUGCCUUCACAUCAUUCCUAAAUACUUAAACGCCUUCUUGAAGGCUUCUUCUAGUUGCUUGUCAUCUCUGCAGUCAGCUGCUGUUUUUCACUACCUGUUAAAAACACUUAGAGGUGUCUGUCACUGUCAGAAUAUCUAAGGCAGGAAGUACUCGUAAGAGGAUAUUUUGGCUGAUUUCUUAACCAUCCCUCCAGUACAGAGACAUAAAGCACAUAUGCACAUUAUUAUUUUCCAAUUACGCAAUCAGACUGUCAGUAAAACGCAGAGCAGUGUCUUUUAUCCCUCAUUUUUAAAGGUGUUGCUCCCUCUCCACAGAUAAAGAAGGAGUAGUUGAUGCAGUAUAUACGCUGGUUUCAUCCUGCCUGUACAGUCGAGAGAGAGUGUAGCCUUUGAUUCAGUCUGAGCUCAGGAUCUUCAUCAAUUACAGCUCCUUGAUUAGUGCGGAGUGCACACAUGCUCUGCUCUUUGAAAGCAUAAUGAUGCAGUCUCCCCUUCCCCACCCAUACUUUACACACUAAUGGACUGAGCCACAAGCAAUUUCACAGCAUCUUUAUGUACGAUAAUUGGGGGAAAUUGUAAUGUACUGUACUGUACUGCACCAUACCGUACUGUAAUGUAUUGUACUGUACUGCACCAUACCGUACUGUAAUGUACUGUACUGUACAUGUGGCAGACAUGAGGGGAGAAAAUGAGGGCAAUGAUGUGUGUAAUGCAAUCAGCCACUUUGCAUAAGUUCCAGUUGAUACAGGCCUUUUAGAAUACUGAAAAUAAAAUAUGUCACAUUAUAGUUAAAAUACAGUCUGUUUGGCAAAAUA